AUCAGCAUGGGGGCGGGGCUUCAGCUCACGGAGAUCAGCUGUUGCACGGGAGUUGCACCAUCACUACAGACAUGAGAGAGAUUUCAUCCUCACAGAUGUUCAAAUAUGUAUGAGGAAGAUUUCACAGUCCUGCCGGGCGAAGCGAAGGAGAUCCACAUCACAGAGGAAAUCGACGGAGAGAGACGGUUCUGAGGCAAAAGAGUGAAAUAAUGAAGGCCUUUAGAGUGAGAAGCUGGAGGACGUGAAGUCUCCAUUAAAGACUGCAACACCGUGAACACUAUCCGCAGUCUUACAGACCUCGUGAUCCACCGAAUCUCUUUCCCAGAGCAAAACCUCUCGUCCCUGCCUGUUAUGACCUGGCUCUCCUGUGUGUGUGUGUGUGUGUGUCUGCCUCUUGUUCUCUCUCUACAGGACACACACACGGAUAUACUGAAACCAAAAUUACAGAAUCAAUCCAAACCGCUCCAGCAACAACUCCACUGUUCAGACUCUCUUCAGACUCGCAGUCUUUUCUGAUUUCGUAAACCGGGCGAUCAAAACUACGAAAAAUCCCAUUUAGGCCCACUGUCAUUGAGGGGCCAAAACACACACUCUCACACACACACACACACACGUGACGCUGUUCUCCAGAUGUGAUGUUGUGCUUGUGUUUAUUUUCUCAGUUACCCACAGGUCUGCAGGGUCAAAUGUCAAGAGACUGAGAUAAGCCCUGCCCAAUGGCUGGAGAGGGGCGGGGCCAGCCGUGACUCACAGGUCAAUCACUGCCAUGUGCUUCAUCAUCAUCAUCAUCCGCUUCAUUCAUCACAUUCAGACCUUGUGAAGAUAUAUUUGUCCAGGAACAUUUCAGCCAGAAAACAAGAAAAAUUAUUUCUUGUUUCAAUAUAGUUUCAGUGAAGCGGAGUGGAUCACGUCAGUUGCAGACACAGCUAAGAAGAAACAGAACAAUGAAACACACACACACACACACACACACACACACACACAUCUGCAGGCCAGCCAAAGUGCAAGAGUUGAGCAACAGAUCCUGAUACACAUUAACCGAUGAGGUCACAGAAACCCUCAUCCCUUCCUUCUCUCUCUCCGUCUCUCGUGUGUUCGGUUUAAGCGUGGACGGACACACCCGAGACCCACGGCGGACAGACCUCCGGCGAGAGGAGCUCACUGUAACUGGAGUCAUGUAAUCAGAUUACUUCUUCAAGUAAAUAAAGUAACUCAUUACUUUUAAAA